AUUGCAGCUGACAUGCACUCCUGGUACCUUCGGGUCCAGCAAUCAUCAGGGGAUGUCUGUAAACCCAAAAUGAUUGUCAUAUAGAACAGAAUCGCCGUGCAGUACGUUGUGGACGAAGCGGCUAAAACUUACACAACUCGCCCAAAGCACCCUGCCCGUCGGGUCGCUGAGGGUUAACUUAAUAGACACGGCUACGCAUGUAGUACCGACAGCGGAGUACUGGCGGACGGGGG
rnacentral:tmRNA from 1 species